rnacentral:rRNA from 1 species
GAUGAACGCUGGCGGCGUGCCUAAUACAUGCAAGUCGAGCGAACAGAUAAGGAGCUUGCUCCUUUGACGUUAGCGGCGGACGGGUGAGUAACACGUGGGUAACCUACCUAUAAGACUGGGAUAACUUCGGGAAACCGGAGCUAAUACCGGAUAACAUUUUGAACCGCAUGGUUCUAAAGUGAAAGAUGGUUUUGCUAUCACUUAUAGAUGGACCCGCGCCGUAUUAGCUAGUUGGUAAGGUAACGGCUUACCAAGGCGACGAUACGUAGCCGACCUGAGAGGGUGAUCGGCCACACUGGAACUGAGACACGGUCCAGACUCCUACGGGAGGCAGCAGUAGGGAAUCUUCCGCAAUGGGCGAAAGCCUGACGGAGCAACGCCGCGUGAGUGAUGAAGGGUUUCGGCUCGUAAAACUCUGUUAUUAGGGAAGAACAAACGUGUAAGUAACUGUGCACGUCUUGACGGUACCUAAUCAGAAAGCCACGGCUAACUACGUG